AGUUAAAUUGCAGAAAUCGCAAAACUUUAAUAUCCCCCAAGUCCAAAGACCAAAGUCGUGGCGAAAGUCAAAGUAAUGGAAUUGUGUAAUUAACGAGACUCUGGGGAGAAAGACCCGAUGAAACGUUCCAGCUGCUGCGGACUUUUGCUAUAACUUGAAGAUGUCUCCACCACAUCCACAUCCACAUCCUUCGGACGCAGGAUGGAGUGCAAUAGAUGCAGUGCAGCGAGGCCCAGCAGAGGACGGAUGGGCCUGGGGGCUGGUUCCAACACCAACAAGCAGCAUCUCCUCCGAUAUUUAUCAGAUGAAUAUUAAUUAGAACGAUUAUGUACAUGUGUGGCAGCUUGAGAAUUGCACAUUUCUCAAGCCAAUUGUUGCUGCUUGAAACUUUACUGAUGUUUAGCUUGGAUUGGAACACAUUUUUAAAGGACGUUGAGAACCAGCUACUACCGAUGCAUGAUUCAGUUAGAUGGUAGUCUGAUAGAAUAAAUCAAUAUAAUCACAAUAUAAAGAUUUAAUUGGAAGUUAUCUUCCAAUACAGGCCAAAAGCCUGUAUCUUUAGAUUGUAACUUUAAGAUCACAGAAGAAAAAAAAAUAUAAAUACAUAUGCCUCUACUCUGAUGGAUAGAUACAUUUCAAUAAGAGUCCAUCCUGAAUCUACAGGAAAAAUUCAGAUAUAUUUGCAAAGCCUUUUACGGGAAUAUCUGGUUCUAAAAAAUGUAUGCCAUUUAUUUAUUGAACAUUGCAAGCGCAUAAAUUAUAGAUUCAUUGUGGUUUCUAAAAAAAAAAUUUAUCCUACGGCAAACAAGGAAUUUUACACAUGUGAUGCACAUAUUUUUUUAAAGCUUUUAAAGUUAUUGCGUAAAAAUAGGAAAAAAGAAAUAUGCAAAUACGAGUAUAAAUAUUUAGUAUGAAGACUACUUUUAAGUCCAUUUUAUUUUACAUUU